rnacentral:rRNA from 1 species
AGCGGCGGACGGGUGAGUAACGCGUGGGUAACCUGCCUCAUACAGGGGGAUAACAGUUGGAAACGGCUGCUAAUACCGCAUAAGCGCACAGUACCGCAUGGUACCGUGUGAAAAACUCCGGUGGUAUGAGAUGGACCCGCGUCUGAUUAGCUAGUUGGUGGGUAACGGCCUACCAAGGCGACGAUCAGUAGCCGACCUGAGAGGGUGACCGGCCACAUUGGGACUGAGACACGGCCCAA